rnacentral:rRNA from 1 species
UACGAAGGGGGCUAGCGUUGCUCGGAAUCACUGGGCGUAAAGGGUGCGUAGGCGGGUCUUUAAGUCAGGGGUGAAAUCCUGGAGCUCAACUCCAGAACUGCCUUUGAUACUGAGGAUCUUGAGUUCGGGAGAGGUGAGUGGAACUGCGAGUGUAGAGGUGAAAUUCGUAGAUAUCGGGAGGAACACCGGUGGCGAAGGCGGCGACCUGGGUAGAUACUGACGCUGAGGCGCGAAAGCGUGGGGAGCAAACGGG